GUGGCAAGGAAGGCUGUAUGGAAGAGAUGGCAUUUAAGCUAAACCUGGCAGUAUGGAUGGAAUUUGGACAUGAUGAGGGUGUUUGAAGGAGGAAGGAAGGACCAAAAUGGUGUGGUUGACUCAACAAACAUUAAUUAAGCCUUCAUAUGUGCCAAGCUCUAUACUAGGUACUGGAAUUCCAGGAAGAAGUAAGAAGAAUCUUUGCUCACAGACUACUUUGUGGCACAACUCUAGAAGGCACUGUUCACAUGGUAUUGCAGGGGAGUGGCCCUCCAUCAGGAAGAAGGGCAAGUGAGGGGUGAAUGGUUCCCUUUGGAGAUGUGACAAGCUCUCUUCUCUCCUUGAUUUUGCUUCUCUUUGCACCUUAUUCUCUUCUGCACCAGUUUCAGUAGAAGGUUGCCAAGGAGGACUCUGAUUGGCCCGGACUGGGUCACGUGCCUAUUCUUGAUCCACUGUGGCCUCGAGGAUGGAGUCUUCCGAUCGUAGGAGCACAGGUGAAGACAUUAAAUAUCAGGUGGGAAAACCAGAAAUUAGACGGCCUCUGGAGAGACCACACAAUGGAUAUACACGUGUGCCGCUAGGAGUGGCCAUAUAAGGGAGUUCUAUAUCAUACUCUAAAUGGCUGCUGUGGCACCAACCAUCCUGUACAGCCCAGGAAGACAGUCAAUAAUACUGUAAUAUGUUUGUAUGGAGACAGAUGUUUUCUGGAUUUACCUUAGCAACUUGGCAUUCUACAAAGUCAUGAACUGAAGGAAAGGAUUUUCCUGAGAAGAGAACUUACAACAGCCUAACAGAAGCAUGAGCACACGUGGCACCUGCAUCUGAUCAACUGGAGCCUUUUAAGACCAUACUGAUGUGCCCAUCUACUAUAGUUCCUGGUUCAGUAGGUCUGGGGUCAGGACCGAGAAAUGGCAUUUCUAACAAAUUCCUAUGAGGUGCUCUUGAUAUUGGGCCAGGAACUACCCCCUCCCCCAUCCUUUGAGAACUACUACUUUAUCAUUUCAUGAGCUUCAUGGGAAGAGGUAUUGUGCUUUUAUAUUCUCCAUGUACCACCAGUGCCUAGUAUGUAGAUGGCAUGAACAAAUAUCGUUUGAAUAAAAAGUGAUCACCAAGCCCCAUCUCAUUCAUAGUGAAAACACUUAUGGAACGUUGGACAUUUCAUCCAGCCUGUUAAGGAUAAUGCUUUCCAAAGAAACUCAAAAAAUAACGUUGACUUAGGGAUUUCUGCUACUGUGGAAUCUAGAGCAUCUGGAGUCACUUUCUAUGAAAGCUUUCUUUUUUUUUUUCCUCAGCCACUAAGGUAUGGUAAUGAAGUCAGCAUGACACACAGGUGUGUUGACUGUUCAGGCUUCCAUUCAAGGUGCUUUGAAAGCAGAAGCAACAGAAUCCCCUCCUGUAGGGCCAUCUGCUUUCAAUUUUUCAGCUGAACCUCCUGAAGACUCACCAGGUGCUAAUUUUGUAUAUGAUUCCACUGGAAUUCUAUCACUUUUCUUUAGAUUUUAAUUCCCAAAGGAAGGGAAAGAUUCACUGAAGCAGAAAAGCUCCCUGACAUAGAGAAGAUCGGGAAUGAUCUCUAGCUGAACAAAGGCCAAUUCUACAAAUAGUUGACAAAUUGUCUGAGUUUUAGUCAACUCAAUUUUUAAAGUCACCUCCUGAAUGUGUAGGCUUUUGCAAUCACUGGAUCAGCCAUGCAGUCAAUCCCAUUCAGUCUCAGAAGGAGGAAAUAGAUUGUUUUUAAACCUAUAGUUUUUACUUUCCUAACUCGGGCAGUCGAUACUUUGGACAAUUUUGAACACAGAAACCAUAACUUUAUGAAAAUCUGCGUGAUUUCCUUUUCACAUUCAAGUACUUAGAAAUCUCUUGCCCUUGUUACUAGAAAAACUAAUGUUGGGCAAGUGAUUAGAAUCUCUUCUAAUCCUCAUGUUUCCUGAAUUCAUAUUAACAGAAAGGAGAGAGACCGACAACCUGACCUGCAGUCAUUCCAAAUAAAGUCUGAGCUUCAUCUUCACAUCUGAGCACUAAAUUUAAGAGCAAAACUCAUGACAGAGCAGAGAAAAGGGGCACAUUUUAGCAGUUAAGCUUUAGGCCGGCUUGAUCCGAACUAAAUGCUUUGUAAUCUCUCUUUAAACAAAAGCUUUAGCUUCUGUAAUCCUCCUUUUUAUCUGUCCCUAUGAAGCCUCCUGAGGUUAAAGCUGCUGUUCAUGUAAUUUUUUAUAAACAGCCUAGAUCUUUGCCCACAAAUUGCUUUCCAAGGGUGAUGGCAGCAGUGUCAACUUAGCUCAAGUGUCAUGAGUCAUGUUCCCUUCCCUUUGGAGACACCUGCCCAAGCAAAGCCCGAGCAUCCUUUGCUUGUAUUCUCACUGCACAGAUGUCCUGCCACUGAGCAUCCAUCCAGCCGAGGGCCCUGGCUCAAUAAAGCAUGGCUGAGAGACUAUUGUGUCUAUCUGCACCUUCUGUUAUUGAAAUCCCAAGGAAAACUUCCAUUUGUCACAUUGAACCAUGCCACGUUAUACUCUGGCUCCACCCAAAGUCUGGUGUCUUUGAUGGCGUUCUUCAGUGCCUGUGAACUUCCACUGCCUUUCCUGAGGGGAAACAGCAAGGAAGCUCAGGCUCCAUGAUAGACUGAUGCCCUAAUGAAGCAGCCUAGCCAGGACUGAAAUGUCUCACGCUUGCCAUUGUGUGGUCACUGUAACUUUCCAACAGGUGUCUUCAACGCUGCUUGUGAAAGCCUGCAUGUAGAGACAAUGAAAAGCUGAACUUCAUAGAAAUGCCAAAAAAUAAAAAUACCUCACUAUGCAGAAACAUCAGAGAGAGCAUACAGCUUUUGCUGCACCUAUUAUAGUAGGACCAUGUGUUCACAUAUACUUGCAUCACAACGUCUCCAGCUUUCCUUGGCUAGAAAUUAUGUUCAACUCUGGACUGUCCUAGCAAGUACUAUCUGAAGAAAAGUUAAUGUUCCUAAAGUUCUCUACAUAGAGGCUACUAGGACUGCUACUUACUCCCUACAAAGGGAACUCACGCAGCCAGACUCAGUGUCAUCAUUUCAAAGAUGUGUGCACAUACAAGGACUCUCUUGAUCCUUUAUUUAAAAGGGGAUCAAUCUAUUUUAAAAUUGCCUUCAAAAGACAUGAACUAGUCUGGCUCCAACACUUGAAUUUUCAUGCUGUCUCAUAUUGACUAUAGUAACUACAAUAACAAACCAACAUCCACAGGGUGAAGCUACCCUCUCUUAUGCUGGUGAACAGAUGGGAAGAUCAAGCCCCUUCUCAGGACGAGGCCCUGCCUGGAUGGAGUACCUGCAAGACAGAGCAAGUAUUUCAUCUUAGAGAGUACUUAGGAGAAAGACCCCAUUUCACUUUACUGAGGUGGGCAAUAUAAGUCUGGAAAGUUCUCAGAAGUAGUAUUCUACCUGCUCUUUCUGUUGACCAUGCUUAUCCUCACACAAGGACCCAGGCGGAUGGAUUCACCACUGCCUGAUCAUACCAGUCCCUGUGGCAGUGGGAAGAGUAUACUCAGGAGGGUCUCGUAACAGCAAUUACGUGCUCCAACUCGAUGCAGCUGUAAUUUUUGCUUACACCCUACUGGCCACAACAAGCCGUGGGAGCCACGCACCCACCAAAAGGCAUACCUUCGAGGUCAGAGGGCGCUGCGAGCUCAGCGCUGAGUCCUUCACCAGCUGUCCCGCAUCGCGCUCACGCACCACGUGCAGAAGCGCUGGAGGCCCCACCGAGUGUUCAGCCCGCAGUACUUCUGCCGCCAGGCCACCGCCUCCCGCAUCCCUGCGCACCGCCUCGACCAGCUCCCGCGGCCCGCCGCCGUCAAAAGCCUCGCCGACUCCUUCUCCGUGGCCAGCGGCGUUCAUGACGCACGGGCGCGCCUACUCGCGGGCCAGUGGGAACGGGGACGGCGGCAGCAAGGGCGGCAGCCUCCAGAACGUCCGAGCCGACCCGCCCCCGCCCCGAGCACGCCUUAU